ACCACCUAGCAAGACACCACAACUUUACCUUCGUUAGUGGACCUAUCGAUCAACUCUUGAAAUAGAAGAUGGCAAAUGAUUUCCGACCGUACCAGGUAUCUCUGUCGCGACUCCUCGAUGUAAACCGCGUGAAGACCAUACUUUACUGGUAUCUCUUCUGGUCUUCAGGAUCUAAAGCUGUCGCUAUGGUGCUGCUUUUACUGACACUUUAUAAGAGAAUUGACAAGCAACCGAAGAAGGGCAAAAACAGAUCGUCAGGACAGCACGAUGAUUUUUAGCAAUGGACGUGGCGGUGAUGUCGUGACGAGAAAAGCUGGCACGUCACGAUGUCACUACCAUUCCUGAUGUUAUACAACUAUAUUUUGGACAACUCAACAAGACUUCUUCUCUCAGUUGGACUCUGACUACUUCAUGGAUAUUUUAGUAUGAUUAAAACUUUAAUUUUAUCCUAUUUAAAGGGCCUUAGUAACCCUGAUUUAGACACGCCAAUCAGUAAGGGCUUUUAUUUGAAGACAACAAGAUGUAGUCGCAUAUGGAGUUUUGGUGAGAGUUUGAGAGAAUUUUGUGAAACCCCUUUUGUGAGAGUUUCAAAAAUGAGCUUUGUAUUUGGGGUUUGGGUUUAUUAUAUUCUCAUUGUACUCUUGUUUUGUUUGCUCCAUUAAUGUUAAGUCGAUGCCUCCUUUUCUCGUGGUGUUUAUCCUCUUUGGAGGAGUUUUUCAUGUAAAA